rnacentral:rRNA from 1 species
UACAGAGGUCUCAAGCGUUGUUCGGAAUCACUGGGCGUAAAGGGCGCGUAGGCGGCUGUUCAAGUCGGGGGUGAAAUCCCGUGGCUCAACCACGGAAUGGCCUUCGAUACUGGACGGCUCGAGACCGGAAGAGGUGAGUGGAACUGCGAGUGUAGAGGUGAAAUUCGUAGAUAUUCGCAAGAACACCAGUGGCGAAGGCGGCUCACUGGUCCGGUUCUGACGCUGAGGCGCGAAAGCGUGGGGAGCAAACAGG